UACGGAGGGGGCUAGCGUUGUUCGGAAUUACUGGGCGUAAAGCGCGCGUAGGCGGCUAUUUAAGUCAGGGGUGAAAGCCCGGAGCUCAACUCCGGAACUGCCUUUGAGACUGGAUAGCUAGAAUCUUGGAGAGGCGAGUGGAAUUCCGAGUGUAGAGGUGAAAUUCGUAGAUAUUCGGAAGAACACCAGUGGCGAAGGCGGCUCGCUGGACAAGUAUUGACGCUGAGGUGCGAAAGCGUGGGGAGCAAACAGG
rnacentral:rRNA from 1 species